rnacentral:rRNA from 1 species
AUUGAACGCUGGCGGCAGGCCUAACACAUGCAAGUAGAAUGAGUGGCGGAAGGGUGAGUAAUGUCUGGGAAACUGCCCGAUGGAGGGGGAUAACUACUGGAAAAGGUAGCUACUACUGCCUACCAUCGGAUGUGCCCAGAUGGGAGUAGCUAGUAGGUGGGGUAAAGGCUCACCUAGGCGACGAUCCCUAGCUGGUCUGAGAGGAUGACCAGCCACACUGGAACUGAGACACGGUCCAUACUCCUACGGGAGGCAGCAGUGGGGAAUAUUGCACAAUUGGCGCAAGCCUGAUGCAGCCAUGCCGCGUGUAUUAAGAAGGCCUUCGGGUUGUAAAGUACUUUCAGCGGGGAGGCGUUACCCGCAGAAGAAGCACCGGCUAACUCCGUGCCAGCAGCCGCGGUAAUUC